UCAGUUUUAUUUCUCUUUGUUGUCAGAGGUUGUUUCUCCCAUGAUGCAUUGUGCUGAAGUAGACUCUCACUAGAAAAAGAGAUUUAAUGUAAAAAUACAAAGGAAACACUAACGAGCUAAAUGAAAUCACCUGGGGGAGACAACAGAAGCAGGUGAGUGGGCGGGGCCUAACCAUGGGGGAGAACUGCAGACAGAAGCAUCAGUUCAGCCUGAUGCUGUGGAGUUCUGUGCUCCAGUGGGAGCCAACCAGAGAGACGGCACUCAUUUAUGGCCCGCUGUGCCCAGGGAUGGAGGCGUGAUGAAGCUGACAUCCAUCAGGGAGGAAGACUGAUCAACAGUAAACAAGUCCAGGCAGGUGAAUCACAGGAGACCAGGACAGGGAGUCUGAACUUCUGCAGUCUGGAGACGGGUUUGAAGACAGUGAAAUGAGUCAGAACUUUGGUUUAACCCAGCAGGGUCUGCUUUAGUCUUCUUAUAAUCCCUGAUAAUCCAGACAGAUGGGAUGAUGUCAGAACAGUUGUUUGGAGUCCAUGAGGACCCCCUGAGACCCUGCUGUAAUUAGCAACACAUCAACGCUCAUCUGGGACUUGACUUCACCUCAUCAGACCUGGACAAACAGCUGAAGUCUUUAGUUUCAGCUCAUUUGUUGCAGCUUUACAAACUGUUUGUGUUUCUGAUCUUUUGUCACAGUUUGACUGAACAACAGUUUGCAUUUAGUUCAGAUUCUUCUGCACAUGUCUCAUUAAUGAAAUCAGUCCAGGAAACCUCUUUAUUGGUCUUCACCUGGUCUCUGUGGUCCAGACUCGUCCUGCAGUGUGAGGAAAAUCAUAAAAACCAAUCCAACCUGUUUCCAUCAGGAAUAUUUCACCUUUAACCCUUUUUACAUGGUCACACUCCUGAUUUAACUCUUAAUGUUGGAUCUUUGUCCAACUGGUCUAUGUCCAACUGGUCUAUGUCCAACUGGUCUAUGUCCAACUGGUCUAUGUCCAACUGGUCUAUGUCCAACUGGUCUUGGUCCAACCUGCUGUAGGACAGAUGGUUUCCAGUCAGAGGACAAAGGUCAGUAAAGACUAAUAAAGACACGCUUUCUGUUCCAGAGAACAUGUCCUCUGUGCUCUGACUGAUGCUGCUGAUGGCACAGACUAAAACACCUGUAAGACUUUGAUUCCUGCAGAACAACCUUGUUGAGCAGAUUGGAGUGCGUCAGCAGCCGGCAGUAGCUGGCAGCAGGGACCCUGAGGAGGUCACGACCUCUGAGCCUGCACCUGAAACCCUCACAGCUCCAACACCUGAAGAGUGUGUGCACGAGUCAUGAUGGUUAAGGCAGGUGAAUUAAAGUAACUGUAACUCAUUAACUUGGUACUUUAACUCAUUAACUUGGCACUUUAACUCAUUAACUUGGCACUUUAACUCAUUAACUUGGCACUUUAACUCAUUAACUUGGCACUUUAACUCAUUAACUUGGUACUUUAACUCGUUAACUUGGUACUUUAACUCGUUAACUUGGUACUUUAACUCAUUAACUUGGUACUUUAACUCAUUAACUUGG